rnacentral:lncRNA from 1 species
UGUUGUGGAGGCUUGGACCUGAUCUCCAAUCACCUUUGUUAAGUUAUCACUCUUCCCAUAUGCAAUCAGCCCUUGAAGUUGGUGUUGCCUCAAAUUCUGAUUGCAGUUGAACCUUCCCUUGCUGAUCUUGUCCAUUAUUCCUGAGCAACACCAAAGUGCACGUGUCUCCAUUGUCUAAAUAUGAUUGACAAGAGUUUAAUGCUGAACUUACUUGAAGGUUGAGUUGACGGGCACGAGCACGAGUAAGAGGACCAGCUAUAGGUUGUGUCGGAGAGGAUGUAGGAUAUGUAUCGCUGGUGGAUGUAGGAUAUGUAUCGCUGGUGGAUGUAGGAUAUGUAUCGCUGGUGUUGAUGUCCUCAUCAGGGCUGAAACAAGGAACGAACUAGCACCACGUUAGUUAUAAAAGCGAGCUGAAUAAGCGUUCGACGAUGGUACUGUGCUGGUCCUAGGCUAGACCGUGCUAGAGACGCGAGCCUGGACACAAAGGAAAACCACAGCACACCCCCGAAAACAAGGUGGGACAAACCUAAAAUCAAUAUGAAAAACAGCCCCUUUUUUGAAUCUUUUCUCUUUUCUUUUUUUUCUUUUUUUUCUUUUUUUUUGGGCAACCUCAAAAACUGAUUAUAUGAACAAAAGAAUACAAAAGAGCAAUUCGCUCCACACACUUUUUUCGCUCCACACACACACUCUCUCUCUCUAGAGUAAGGCCGAACAAGUAGAGUUAUCUUUCUUUUUGAACUCAGAUUGGAACUCUACUCGAUCCGGACCAAGACCACAGUUCAAUUCAGACUUCGCAACAGAUUCGACAGAGAGAAGAUAUGGUAAUACUCGGCUGUGUAUAGAUGGUGACAAGAACUCGAAACUCUAAAGGACUAGACACUAAGACCAGCAACUCGACACAAACCAAAGCAACGCAAAUUCAACAAGCCCUAACUAAAACGGUACUAGCCAAGGCACAAAGGUUUAAUAGGAUUAUGGAAAAACUAAUCUACUAUAUUUUUUUGGCUUUUCUGGACUAUAGGAAAUUAAUUAAAAACAGCAAAGGAUUAGAAGUCUCUCACCGAAGAACCUUGCUCUGAUACCAACUGAUGCGAGCCCGCUAGGGUUUUUGGCCUGAUCUUUCGAUGAGAGGCGCUGGAUAACUCGAUUAAUGGAUGGAGAUGACGUUCACGGCCCGACUACAGCCCUCAAGACCGCGCCUUAGCAACCGAUACACCACGUCCAACAGCCGUCACGAUCUUGUGGAGCGCGACAACCAGCCCCUAGGGCUCCCGUCCUGCAAGCAAUCGAAGGACUAGCAAGAACGAGGAAACAAGCACUGAGUUUGCAAGAUGAAUUGAAGGUUUUAAACUGAAUCUUAAUCAACAAUGGGGUUCCGAAGACAAGGAGGCGGGCGGCUGAUCCUGCACGUGCGCCUACAAGCAAGUAGCGAAGGCUAAACUUGAUCUAAACAAAACCCAGUUGUUCAUGGCGGCUCUAGAUGUAAAUAAAUAGAGGGGAGGACGACCAAAGGGGUGCUAGAGUCGUCCUCCAACCCUAGGACGCGUCCCUAAUGGACUCAACUUGAUACAUGGGCCAUUGGUCCAUAAUAGGGUGACGCAGCACCAAAACAGAAAAAGGUGUCGGCACGAAAACAAGGACUGCGCCCGACUCAUAAGCCGCAUAGAUAUGUGGUUGGACCCAUUGGAAAGUAGACUUCAUGAGCUUUCCAACAAGUAUAGGAACGUCCCAGUUGGAGUCCAUAUGACGCCGUGGUGAUCCAUACAAGUUAGAGUUAUUUUCCAGUCCGAAUCUAACUCCCAAAACGUGUUGGGUUUGGACUCUUUGUUUCCUUGCUUUAGAAACGACGUGGUAACUUGACAGAGGAUGUUGUGGAGGCUUGGACCUGAUCUCCAAUCACCUUUGUUAAGUUAUCACUCUUCCCAUAUGCAAUCAGCCCUUGAAGUUGGUGUUGCCUCAAAUUCUGAAUGCAGUUGAACCUUCCCUUGCUGAUCUUGUCCAUUAUUCCUGAGCAACACCAAAGUGCACGUGUCUCCAUUGUCUAAAUAUGAUUGACAAGAGUUUAAUGCUGAACUUACUUGAAGGUUGAGUUGACGGGCACGAGCACGAGUAAGAGGACCAGCUAUAGGUUGUGUCGGAGAGGAUGUAGGAUAUGUAUCGCUGGUGGAUGUAGGAUAUGUAUCGCUGGUGGAUGUAGGAUAUGUAUCGCUGGUGUUGAUGUCCUCAUCAGGGCUGAAACAAGGAACGAACUAGCACCACGUUAGUUAUAAAAGCGAGCUGAAUAAGCGUUCGACGAUGGUACUGUGCUGGUCCUAGGCUAGACCGUGCUAGAGACGCGAGCCUGGACACAAAGGAAAACCACAGCACACCCCCGAAAACAAGGUGGGACAAACCUAAAAUCAAUAUGAAAAACAGCCCCUUUUUUUGAAUCUUUUCUCUUUUCUUUUUUUUUUCUUUUUUUUCUUUUUUUUGGGCAACCUCAAAAACUGAUUAUAUGAACAAAAGAAUACAAAAGAGCAAUUCGCUCCACACACUUUUUUCGCUCCACACACACACUCUCUCUCUCUAGAGUAAGGCCGAACAAGUAGAGUUAUCUUUCUUUUUGAACUCAGAUUGGAACUCUACUCGAUCCGGACCAAGACCACAGUUCAAUUCAGACUUCGCAACAGAUUCGACAGAGAGAAGAUAUGGUAAUACUCGGCUGUGUAUAGAUGGUGACAAGAACUCGAAACUCUAAAGGACUAGACACUAAGACCAGCAACUCGACACAAACCGAAGCAACGCAAAUUCAACAAGCCCUAACUAAAACGGUACUAGCCAAGGCACAAAGGUUUAAUAGGAUUAUGGAAAAACUAAUCUACUAUAUUUUUUUGGCUUUUCUGGACUAUAGGAAAUUAAUUAAAAACAGCAAAGGAUUAGAAGUCUCUCACCGAAGAACCUUGCUCUGAUACCAACUGAUGCGAGCCCGCUAGGGUUUUUGGCCUGAUCUUUCGAUGAGAGGCGCUGGAUAACUCGAUUAAUGGAUGGAGAUGACGUUCACGGCCCGACUACAGCCCUCAAGACCGCGCCUUAGCAACCGAUACACCACGUCCAACAGCCGUCACGAUCUUGUGGAGCGCGACAACCAGCCCCUAGGGCUCCCGUCCUGCAAGCAAUCGAAGGACUAGCAAGAACGAGGAAACAAGCACUGAGUUUGCAAGAUGAAUUGAAGGUUUUAAACUGAAUCUUAAUCAACAAUGGGGUUCCGAAGACAAGG